GACCCGCUGAGAAGCAAAGGCGACGGCCUAUGAGGCAAUUUAACCGGAGGAGACCAGUUCCGACAAGCACAAAGUCUGACACUGAACUGGUGAGGCCCACAACGUCAGACUGAGCAGAGCCCAGCUGCGGACUGGGCCUGGAGAGGGACACCAGACUCCUGUGGCUCCCCAAGCGCCACUGCGCCUCACUGUGUUUGCCCGCAGCUAUACCCGUGGAUCCCAGUGGUCACUGUAACUGCAGCUCUGCUCUGCAUGCGCCUCUCUGUUUUCAUAUACAUGCAGAGAUACAAAAAAUGGGGCAGGAGAGGAUUGAUGGAGGACGACUGCUGUGGAUUCACACAGCAUGCAGCCUACUGUGACCUCUGACCUUAGCCUAACCUCUGCAAGCCACUCCUCCACGUCUUCAUUUUGACACACACUGAAGUCUGGUUGAACUGUAAAAAGGGGCAUACAGCCUCAUUUUGAAUGAUUAUUAAGCAAUAAAAUCUUUCAUUCAAAAAUGA